rnacentral:rRNA from 1 species
UACGGAGGAUCCGAGCGUUAUCCGGAUUUAUUGGGUUUAAAGGGUGCGUAGGCGGCCAUUUAAGUCAGGGGUGAAAGACGGUAGCUCAACUAUCGCAGUGCCUUUGAUACUGAAUGGCUUGAAUGUACUUGAGGUAGGCGGAAUGUGACAAGUAGCGGUGAAAUGCAUAGAUAUGUCACAGAACACCAAUUGCGAAGGCAGCUUACUAAAGUAUGAUUGACGCUGAGGCACGAAAGCGUGGGGAUCAAACAGG